rnacentral:rRNA from 1 species
CGGGUGAGUAACGCGUGGGUAACCUGCCUCAUACAGGGGGAUAACAGUUAGAAAUGACUGCUAAUACCGCAUAAGCGCACAGUGCUGCAUGGCACAGUGUGAAAAACUCCGGUGGUAUGAGAUGGACCCGCGUCUGAUUAGCUAGUUGGUGGGGUAACGGCCUACCAAGGCGACGAUCAGUAGCCGGCCUGAGAGGGUGAACGGCCACAUUGGGACUGAGACACGGCCCAA